UACGUAGGGGGCGAGCGUUGUCCGGAUUUAUUGGGCGUAAAGAGCUCGUAGGCGGUUCGAUAAGUCGGGUGUGAAAACUCUGGGCUCAACUCAGAGACGCCACCCGAUACUGUUGUGACUUGAGUCCGGUAGGGGAGUAUGGAAUUCCCGGUGUAGCGGUGAAAUGCGCAGAUAUCGGGAGGAACACCAGUGGCGAAGGCGGUACUCUGGGCCGGAACUGACGCUGAGGAGCGAAAGCGUGGGUAGCGAACAGG
rnacentral:rRNA from 1 species